rnacentral:rRNA from 1 species
UACGGGGGGGGGCAAGCGUUGUUCGGAAUUACUGGGCGUAAAGGGCUCGUAGGCGGCCAACUAAGUCAGACGUGAAAUCCCUCGGCUUAACCGGGGAACUGCGUCUGAUACUGGAUGGCUUGAGUUUGGGAGAGGGAUGCGGAAUUCCAGGUGUAGCGGUGAAAUGCGUAGAUAUCUGGAGGAACACCGGUGGCGAAGGCGGCAUCCUGGACAAUACUGACGCUGAGGAGCGAAAGCCAGGGGAGCAAACGGGG